GACGAACCGUGCGACCGUUAUUCGGAAUCACUGGGCUUAAAGCGCGUGUAGGCGGAUGAGCACGUCUGUCGCUGAAAUCCCCCGGCUCAACCGGGGAACGGGCGCGGAUACGGCUCGUCUCGAGGGGCGUAGGGGGACCUGGAACUUCCGGUGGAGCGGUGAAAUGCGUUGAGAUCGGAAGGAACGCCCGUGGCGAAAGCGAGGUCCUGGACGCCUACUGACGCUGAGACGCGAAAGCCAGGGGAGCGAACGGG
rnacentral:rRNA from 1 species